rnacentral:rRNA from 1 species
GAUGAACGCUGGCGGUGUGCUUAACACAUGCAAGUCGAACGAUGAAGCCCAGCUUGCUGGGUGGAUUAGUGGCGAACGGGUGAGUAACACGUGAGUAACCUGCCCUUAACUCUGGGAUAAGCCUGGGAAACUGGGUCUAAUACCGGAUAGGAGCGCCUACCGCAUGGUGGGUGUUGGAAAGAUUUAUCGGUUUUGGAUGGACUCGCGGCCUAUCAGCUGGUUGGUGGGGUAAUGGCUCACCAAGGCGACGACGGGUAGCCGGUCCUGAGGGGGUGACCGGCCACACUGGGACUGAGACACGGCCCAGACUCCUACGGGAGGCAGCAGUGGGGAAUAUUGCACAAUGGGCGAAAGCCUGAUGCAGCGACGCCGCGUGAGGGAUGACGGCCUUCGGGUUGUAAACCUCUUUCAGUAGGGAAGAAGCGAAAGUGACGGUACCUGCAGAAGAAGCACCGGCUAACUACGUGCCAGCCGCCGCGGUAA